rnacentral:lncRNA from 1 species
AGCUGCUCUUACAGCAUUUACAGAUGCCUCUGUUAUAGCUAUAUUUUAUUGUAACGUAUAGGGAGACUUGGACCUGUUGAGAAGGUGCAGGACGUUCCCUCUCCAUUGCUCCGUUGCUGUAGCACCCUUUCGUAAACCGACACGUAUGGGAACUAGCAAUUAUGCUUAAGAUAAUUAAUAAUUUAUCAAAAAAAUAGCUAUUCAAGCCAGACAGAUCUCGCGCUCCCUCCUUUCCGCACAAUUGCGGGGGCAAAGAUCAACUCUGAAGGUUUGUAGCACAGACCAGAGCAUCCAAUUUUACUCAUUGAUAAACGAGUCUAUUAUACCUGCGUUUAUGUCAAGACAUUUGUGGUAUGCAGUUACUAUACGAGUUAUUGUACCUGAGUGAAUGUUACCGUGCACAUGUCCCGACAUCAGGAAAACG